AUUGAACGCUGGCGGCAUGCCUAACACAUGCAAGUCGAACGAGUGGCGGACGGGUGUGUAACGUCUGGGAAACUGCCUGAUGGAGGGGGAUAACUACUGGAAACGGUAGCUAAUACCGCAUACCAUCGGAUGUGCCCAGAUGGGAUUAGCUAGUAGGUGGGGUAAAGGCUCACCUAGGCGACGAUCCCUAGCUGGUCGGAGAGGAUGACCAGCCACACUGGAACGGAGACACGGUCCAGAUUCCUACGGGAGGCAGCAGUGGGGAAUAUUGCACAAUGGGCGCAAGCCUGAUGCAGCCAUGCCGCGUGUAUGAAGAAGGCCUUCGGGUUGUAAAGUACUUUCAGCGGGGAGGCGUUACCCGAAGAAGAAGCACCGGCUAACUCCGUGCCAGCAGCCGCGGUAAUUC
rnacentral:rRNA from 1 species